AAGGGGGCUAUGGGAAAAUUUUGCAGUCCCUUACUGGGAGAAGGGAGGUAUAUUUGGGCUUGCAAACACAGAGUGGGGAGGAAGGUAGGACAGGGAUAGGUGUAAGGUCUCAGAGAAAACAGGUCUUGACUGCUGGCUAGGGGGUCCCUGAGCCAGAAACUGGAGUAGAGAGCAGGCCUAGGGUCUCCUGCUAGUCACUGAGGGAGUUGAACUAUGUGGUAGUGAAUGGGAAUACUACCCAGGAUUGCUGAAGGAAGACUUUAGUCCCUGGAAGGGGACAAUCCAGAUAGUGACAUGACUGGAGGAUAGAGUCAUGAAGAGGCAAAAGCAGCUUGUGGAGCAAGAGAGGGGCUGCAAAUGUGGCAAGAGAGGUAAAGAGAUGGUGUGCAACUGCAGGAAGGUGUGUUGUCACUCUGGGGAAUAGCUCAUCAGGUCCAGGAGGAGGUGUUAUACUUGUAGUAAGUGAAGUGUCCCAUCACAAGGAUCUGCAUUCAGUUCCCGCCUCAGUAUUCUGUAAAGAAGGGAUUUGAAAUUGGGUUUCCCUACCUAAUAGUUGUACUGUGCAGUACUGAGAGAGCUCACGUGGGGUUAUACACUCUCCAAGCCAACAAGCUGUUGUGUGUACUGGCUCUUUGGAGACCGAACCUGCUGUUACCUCUGUCAAUGCCCAGUCAGAGGAUCAGGAUGCUGCAGGGUAUAUGGUUUUGGGGAAACUCAGGGCUGGGUUGUUGGGGAUCACCCUGCAAGGAGCAAUUGGACUGGUGGAAACCAAGUAACCUAGAAGCACUUUGACCCAUUCAUUCUAGGAUGCAUCUACAGCAUGAUUAUUGAACUUAUUUCACAACAUCUAGUGACAAAUGCAUUUGAUUGAGUUAGAAGCAACUGGAGACUUUGCUCAGCAGUAUCCUUUGCUGCAAUACAGAUGUUAGUUGUCUGCACUUCAAGCAGGAAGAAAGCUUGACACCAUGCUAAUCCUCAGGAUCUUGCACUAUCACUCAAGUCUUGCUGUGGAAUGAAAGCUGCUAUACAAUUUCUUUUGAUGAUCUUAGAGAGACAAGAAGCAAGAUUCCUGCAGUCUGUUUUCCCAAGGAGCAUCUGACCCUUUUUAGAGAAACUCCCAAAGCCAGAUCUCUGCAAUGAGGGGAGAUCCAUUUUCACCACCCUGUCCAAGGUUUGCCCCUGGAAUAAGUGGUAACAGCACUACUGAAUCUGAUCACAUUGCUGAAAUUGGAUAUACCAGGCACCAUGCUGAACAGGAUGAAAAAGAAAAUCGUUUUGGAAAUUGAUGGCACUCUCUUAACCAAGAUGGAAAUAAAGCUAGUCUGUUUUCUUUAGGGAUGAUUUAGGGGAGAUUUGUUUAUAAUAUACAUAAAACAAAACAUCAUAACAAACCAAGUUUGCCUCCAUAUGUUAUGAGACAAUGAAGGCAACUUUAAUUGUACUGAAAGGCUUGGAUUUUCCAUUGACUUUAAUGAAAAUUGGAUCAAGUCUUAAAUGGGCAAAAUUCUACUGAAUUCAAUGGACUUAGAUCUAUGUAAAGAGGCACAUUUUAGGCCCACAAAUUUAUUUACUUUUACUGUCUUGUAUAGAAAGACAAUGGGUUUGAUACUUCCAUUGUUUCUGUCUAGUUCAGUAUCCUGUCUGACUGCACUUGUAUCAGUACCCACUGCUUCAGAGGAAGGUGCAUGAAACCCCAGAGUGUACAAUUACAGAAUAAGUUGCCUAGAGGGGGAAGUUUAUUCCUAAACCUGGCAACUAGGGCCCAAUCCAAUUCCUAUAGGAAAAAAACUCAUUGGCUCCUUUAGGAGUUGGAGUGGGCCCUUAGUGGUUGAAUUAUGCCUUGAUAUCCACUUAAUAUAAAACAGCAGAUAUUCUCAUUAUCUAUACAAGUGUUUGAAUCCUUUUUGAUACCUCUUGAGCACAAUUAAAAAAAAUAAAUUGUUCACUGAG